rnacentral:rRNA from 1 species
GCGAAUCUCGAAAGCCUGUCUCAGUUCGGAUUGGAGGCUGAAACCCGCCUCCAUGAAGUUGGAUUCGCUAGUAAUCGCGCAUCAGCCAUGGCGCGGUGAAUACGUUCCCGGGCCUUGUACACACCGCCCGUCAAGCCAUGGGAGCCGGGGGUGCCUGAAGUUCGUGACCGCAAGGAGCGACCUAGGGCAAAACUGGUGACUGGGGCUAAGUCGUAACAAGGUACC